AUGAAUACUGAGGCAAAGAAGACACUCAAACUGGCUGAUCAUCUUCAUUUGUGGGUGGUUCCUCCAGGAGGCUGGGCUAAAUUAAACAUGGAUGGUUCUUGGUCGUCAGAUGGAAGGGCUGUAGCUCGAAUGAUUCCCCGAGACAACACAAGCAAUAUAAUUUUCUCCUCAUGCAAGGAACUUAUUUUCCCUGUAGAGAUGCAAUGGAAGCCGAGCUCUGCUUGUAUGGAGGGUCUAUCUUUAUCUUUGCAACGAUCAGUUCUACCUAUUCUGCUAGAGGUGGAUUUUGUCCCAGUGGUGAGCAUUCUCGAGGAUGAAGUUGUUGACAGAUCACUGCUUGCUUCUUUGGCGGCAGAGAUUAAAUAUCUGUUUUCCCUUCAUAAAACUUGUAUUACUCAAAUUAAGCGUAGCCAAAAUGUUGUUGGUGAUUUCUUGGUAAACUUUGCUAGAACUGAGAAUAGAGCUGUUGUUUGGUUGGGCUCAGGGCCACCAGAUGUAGUAGAAAAUGCACCAUUAGUAUCUUGGUUUUGUCCAUGUGCCAACAACCUUGAUACCAAAUUUUGGACCCUUCAAAGCUCAUCGACUUGGUUUAGCCUACAUAUUUACUCUAUCGCAAAGUGCGGAAGGCGUCUGACAAAAGGUGUGCACAAGCACAAGGUCUUACACACUACAUAA
rnacentral:rRNA from 1 species